rnacentral:rRNA from 1 species
GUUUGAUUCUGGCUCAGAUUGAACGCUGGCGGGAUGCUUUACACAUGCAAGUCGAACGGCAGCCUGGACUUCGGUCUGGUGGCGAGUGGCGAACGGGUGAGUAAUGUAUCGGAACGUGCCUAGUAGCGGGGAUAACUACGCGAAAGCGUAGCUAAUACCGCAUACGCCCUUCGAGGAAAGCGGGGGGACCUUCGGGCCUCGCACUAUUAGAGCGGCCGAUAUCGGAUUGGCUGGUUGGUGGGGUAACGGCUCACCAAGGCGGCGGAAGUCCGUAGCUGGUUGAGAGAGGACGACCAACCACACUGGGACGCGAGACACGGCCAGACUCCUACAGGGAGCAGCAGUGAAAUUUUGGACAAUGGGGAAACCCUGAUCCAGCCAUCCCGCGUGUGCGAUGAAGGCCUUCAGGUUGUAAAAGCACUUUUGGCAGGAAAGAAACGGCACGGGAUAAUACCCCGUGCAACUGACCGGUACCUGCAGAAUAAGCACCGGCUAACUACGUGCCAGCAGCCGCGGUAAUACGUAGAGGGUGCAAGCGUUAAUCGGAAUUACUGGGCGUAAAGCGUGCGCAGGCGGUUCGGAAGAAGAUGUAGAAAUCCCAGAGCUUAACUUUGGAACUGCAUUUUUAACUACCGAGCUAGAGUGUGUCAGAGGAGGUGGAAUUCCGCGUGUAGCGGUGAUACGUAGAUAUGCGGAGGAACACCGAUAGCGAAGGCAGCCUCCUGGGAUAACACUGACGCUCAUGCGCGAUAAGGGAGCAAACAGGAUUAGAUACCCUGGUAGUCCACGCCCUAAACGAUGUCAACUAGCUGUUGGGGCCUUCGGGCCUUGGUAGCGCAACUAACGCGUGAGAUUGACCGCCUGGGAAAUUACGGUCGCAAGAUUAAAACUCAAAGGAAUUGGCGGGGACCCGCACAAGCGGUGGAUGAUGUGGAUUAAUUCGAUGCCCUUGCCGAAAAACCUUACCUACCCUUGACAUGUCUGGAAUCCGAAGAGAUUUGGGAGUGCUCGCAGAGGAACCCGGAACACAGGUGCUGCAUGGCUGUCGUCAGCUCGUGUCGUGAGAUGUUGGAGUUAAGUCCCGCAACGAGCGCAACCCUUGUCAUUAGUUGCCACGAAGGGCACUCUAUUAAGGACUGCCGGUGACAAACCGGAGGAAGGUGGGGAUGACGUCAAGUCCUCAUGGCCCAUAUGGGUAGGGCUUCACACGUCAUAUAAUGGUCGGGACAGAGGGUCGCCAACCCGCGAGGGGAGCCAAUCCCAGAAACCCGAUCGUAGUCCGGAUCGCAGUCUGCAACUCGACUGCGUGAAGUCGGAAUCGCUAGUAAUCGCGGAUCAGCAUGUCGCGGUGAAUACGUUCCCGGGUCUGAAGUACACACCGCCCGUCACACCAUGGGAAUUAGGUUUACCAAGUAGUUAGCCUAACCAUGGGAGGCGAUUACCACGGUAAGUUCAUGACUGGGGUGAAGUCGUAACAAGGUAG